UACGUAGGGUGCAAGCGUUGUCCGGAAUUACUGGGCGUAAAGAGCUCGUAGGCGGCUUGUCACGUCGGUUGUGAAAGCCCGGGGCUUAACCCCGGGUCUGCAGUCGAUACGGGCAGGCUAGAGUGUGGUAGGGGAGAUCGGAAUUCCUGGUGUAGCGGUGAAAUGCGGAGAUAUCAGGAGGAACACCGGUGGCGAAGGCGGAUCUCUGGGCCAUUACUGACGCUGAGGAGCGAAAGCGUGGGGAGCGAACAGG
rnacentral:rRNA from 1 species